rnacentral:lncRNA from 1 species
AUGCCGGCAUCAAUCCCCCUCCCCGCGCAGACGUCCCCGAGCUGGAGGUGGAGCGCAGCGAGGUGGCGGUGCUGGAGGGCGGCGAGGCUCGGCUGGCGUGUCGGCACCGCGGCGGUACCGAGCUGGGCGCCGAGCUGGGCUGGUUCGACCCGCAGCAGCGCGAGGUGCCGGGAAGCAGCACAAAGUACCGGCUGGAGCGCGGCGGGGCGUGGGCCAACCUCACGGUGCGCGACGCCGAGUGGCCGCGGGACGGCGGCUCGUACCGCUGCUCCGCCGCCAACAGCGUGGGCACCAACAGCCUCCGCGUCCAGCUCCGCGUGGAACGUGAGUCCCGGGGCGGCGGCGCGAUCCCCGCGGUGCUUCGUGCCGCCCCACGCGGCGCCGUGUCCCGCAGGGUACCCGGCCCCUCCCAACGUCACCAUCAGCAAGUUGCGGUACACGCGGGCGCGCACCGAGGUGCGGCUGCAGUGGCGGACACAGGGCGCGGGGAACCUGACCGGCUUCGUGGUGCAGCGGCGGCCGGCCAAGAAACCGCAGCGCCGCACGGGCGGCACCUGGGAAACGGCGGCGGGAGACAUCGAGCCGAGCUCCCGAGACCGGCGCCUGGGGGGGCUCGACCCCCGCGUGGUUUAUGCGUUCCGAGUCCUGGCCGUCAACCACCGCACGGCCGGGCACCCCUCCGAGGUGCAGACGCCAGGUGAAGUGGGCACGGGGCGGCACGCCGUGCUCCGAUGGCAUCCCGGGUGGUGCCAGGCAGCGGUAGGGGCUACAGAACAGCCCGGGGCUGAAUGUCUGAUGGCAGAGCUGGGGGUGAGCGGAGAAAGGCAGAGCUGCGCCCCAGCGGCAGCAGCCAGCUGUAGGCUUCAGAGCAAACAAGCGCAGGUUCCCACCCUUCUCCUCCGUCUGUGCCGGCGAUGCCCGGUGCUGCCCUCGCUCCUUUCUGCCCCAUCCCGGCUGCUCCUCACCUCCCCCGUCCCAACCUGCGCUGCUUUCUUCCAGCUGAGCCGCCCUUCGAGGCGCUGCCGGCCGUGA